rnacentral:rRNA from 1 species
GACGAACGCUGGCGGCGUGCUUAACACAUGCAAGUCGAACGGAAAGGCCUUUUCGGAGGUACUCGAGUGGCGAACGGGUGAGUAACACGUGGGUGAUCUGCCCUGCACUCUGGGAUAAGCCUGGGAAACUGGGUCUAAUACCGGAUAGGACCGCACUUUUGUGUGUGUGGUGGAAAGUUUUUUCGGUGUAGGAUGAGCCCGCGGCCUAUCAGCUUGUUGGUGGGGUAAUGGCCUACCAAGGCGGCGACGGGUAGCCGGACUGAGAGGUUGGUCGGCCACAUUGGGACUGAGAUACGGCCCAGACACCUACGGGAGGCAGCAGUGGGGAAUAUUGCACAAUGGGCGCAAGCCUGAUGCAGCGACGCCGCGUGGGGGAUGACGGCCUUCGGGUUGUAAACUCCUUUCGCCAGGGACGAAGCGUUUUGUGACGGUACCUGGAGAAGAAGCACCGGCUAACUACGUG